rnacentral:sRNA from 1 species
UGUUUUGGAUUGAUAAAGUGAACAUGUGUAUCAAUGCCGCCUGCAGUAACAAUUAAUCCUUCACCUGCUAUGAUUUCUGUUCCUACACCAAUAAUAAAAUCUACACCAUCCAUAAUAAGUGGAUUACCUGACUUACCAAUCCCUGCAAUUUUGCCAUCACGAAUACCAAUAUCUGCUUUAUAAAUACCUGUAUAAUCUAGGAUGAUUGCAUUAACAAUAACAAGGUCCAUUACUAAUGGAUUUUCUCUUGUUUCUAAUGAAUUUUGUCCCAUUCCAUCAC